rnacentral:rRNA from 1 species
UACGUAGGGGGCAAGCGUUGUCCGGAUUUAUUGGGCGUAAAGAGCGUGUAGGCGGUUUGGUAGGUCCGCUGUGAAAACUCGAGACUCAACCUCGAGACGCCGGUGGAAACCAUCAGGCUAGAGUCCGGAAGAGGAGAGUGGAAUUCCUGGUGUAGCGGUGAAAUGCGCAGAUAUCAGGAAGAACACCCGUGGCUAAGGCGGCUCUCUAGUACGGUACUGACGCUGAGACGCGAAAGCGUGGGGAGCGAACAGG